AUUGAACGCUGGCGGCAGGCCUAACACAUGCAAGUCGAGCGAGCGGCGGACGGGUGAGUAAUGUAUGGGGACUGCCCGAUAGAGGGGGAUAACUACUGGAAACGGUAGCUAAUACCGCAUACUAUCGGAUAACCCAUAUGGGAUUAGCUCGUGGGUGAGGUAAUGGCUCACCUAGGCGACGAUCCCUAGCUGGUCUGAGAGGAUGAUCAGCCACACUGGGACUGAGACACGGCCCAGACUCCUACGGAGGCAGCAGUAGGGAAUAUUGCACAAUGGGCGCAAGGCUGAUGAAGCCAUGCCGCGUGUAUGAAGAAGGCCUUAGGAUUGUAAAGUACUUUCAGUGGGGAGGCGGUAACGAAAGAGAAAGCAACGGCUAACUCCGUGCCAGCAGCCGCGGUAAUAC
rnacentral:rRNA from 1 species